rnacentral:rRNA from 1 species
GACGAACGCUGGCGGCGUGCUUAACACAUGCAAGUCGAACGGAAAGGCCCCUUUGGGGGUACUCGAGUGGCGAACGGGUGAGUAACACGUGAGUAACCUGCCCUUGACUUCGGGAUAACUUCAGGAAACUGGGGCUAAUACCGGAUAGGAAUCCUUGCUGCAUGGUGGGGGUUGGAAAGCUUCGGCGGUUUUGGAUGGACUCGCGGCUUAUCAGCUUGUUGGUGGGGUAGUGGCUUACCAAGGCUUUGACGGGUAGCCGGCCUGAGAGGGCGACCGGCCACAUUGGGACUGAGAUACGGCCCAAACUCCUACGGGAGGCAGCAGUGGGGAAUAUUGCACAAUGGGCGGAAGCCUGAUGCAGCAACGCCGCGUGCGGGAUGACGGCCUUCGGGUUGUAAACCGCUUUCAGCAGGGGCGAAGCUUGUGGUGACGGUACCUGCAGAAGAAGCACCGGCUAACUACGUG